ACAAAGAGCAGCAAGUUCGCGAGGACAAGCAAAUCUCAUAAACCGUGGCUCAGUUCAGAUCGUAGGCUGCAACUCGCCUACGUGAAGGAGGAAUCGCUAGUAAUCGCAGGUCAGCAUACUGCGGUGAAUACGUUCCCGGGCCUUGUACACACCGCCCGUCACACCGUGGAAGUUGGCCACGCCCGAAGCCGUUACUCCAACCCUUGUGGAGGAGGACGUCGAAGGUGGGGCUGAUGACUGGGGUGAAGUCGUAACAAGGUAGCCGUACCGGAAGGUGCGGCUGGAUCACCUCCUAAC
rnacentral:rRNA from 1 species